rnacentral:misc_RNA from 1 species
UACGAGUGCCCCGAGCGUUAUCCGGAAUCAUUGGGCGUAAAGGGUGCGUAGGCGGUCUUGUUAGUCUUCUGUUAAAUAUCUCGGCUCAACCGAGAAGUUGCAGGGGAAACGGCAAGACUUGAGGGUGUGAGAGGUGUACGGAACUCAUAGUGUAGGGGUGAAAUCCGUUGAUAUUAUGGGGAACACCAAAAGCGAAGGCAGUACACUGGCACACUCCUGACGCUGAGGCACGAAAGCGUGGGGAUCGAACGGG